AUGGUUACAUCACCGCUUUCUGAGACAGAUUCAGGGAGGUACACUCUGACCUGUGAAUCCAACAAUGCCACCAUGUUUUCCACGACUGUGAUUCUUCAUGUAAUGAAACGUCCAACAAAACCUCCAACAAAACCACAGCUGAUGCUCGAUGGUGUGGACGUCCCAGAUGCUUCCCCACUUUUUAAGUGUGUCUCUGAGGGUUUCCCCAAACCCACAAUCCAAUGGUCUGGUAACAAGGAUGGAGAACAGAGUUUAAAGGGAAGUGACAGAAAGACAGAGAGCAAAAUAUCAAGCGGUUAUUAUUAUAAUACAGGAAUGAUGUGCUGUGCAACCAAUACUGAAGGACAAGAGUGCUCCCAACUGUAUGACUACGACUUACAGAGCAGUGUAAUGAACAAAGAUGAGGCAUCUACUGUCACCCUGAGCAAAGGUCAGUCUCUGCUGCUUCGCUGCAGAGUAAAAGGAUACAGUCUGACAUCACCUGUGUGGGAGAAAGGAGGAAGACAGCUCAAUGCCAGGACAUUGUCAUGUAAACCAGAGGAAGAGGAGGAGGUACAGUAA
rnacentral:lncRNA from 1 species